rnacentral:rRNA from 1 species
UUGCACGCUGGCGGCAUGCCUUACACAUGCAAGUCGAACGGCAGCACGGGUGCUUGCACCUGGUGGCGAGUGGCGAACGGGUGAGUAAUACAUCGGAACAUGUCCUGUAGUGGGGGAUAGCCCGGCGAAAGCCGGAUUAAUACCGCAUACGAUCCACGGAUGAAAGCGGGGGACCUUCGGGCCUCGCGCUAUAGGGUUGGCCGAUGGCUGAUUAGCUAGUUGGUGGGGUAAAGGCCUACCAAGGCGACGAUCAGUAGCUGGUCUGAGAGGAUGACCAGCCACACUGGGACUGAGACACGGCCCAGACUCCUACGGGAGGCAGCAGUGGGGAAUUUUGGACAAUGGGCGAAAGCCUGAUCCAGCAAUGCCGCGUGUGUGAAGAAGGCCUUCGGGUUGUAAAGCACUUUUGUCCGGAAAGAAAUCCUUGGCUCUAAUACAGUCGGGGGAUGACGGUACCGGAAGAAUAAGCACCGGCUAACUACGUG